UACAUACACACAUUGGCAAAUUCAUAUGAAAAAUACUCUCACACUUAAUAAAUAUAAUACAGAACAAUUGAAAGAGAAAAAAAUAGAAUGAGAUAAACCAUCAAAUGUCCAAACUAUUGCCGAGUGUAUGAAAGUGCCUGAAAAUAUGC